AAAAAAAACCCAACAAAUCAAACCAGCUUUUACAGCUAAAGCUCCCUUCCCACACUCUUUCCUUGUGCACACUUUGAGCUCAAUAGCCAUUGAAAAUUAUUGUGGCAAAGCCUUUCAUAAAAACUUAGUGUUUCAUGAAAAAAAACAACAAAAAAACCCCUUAAUUUCAAAAUUAAUUCAGUGACCAGCCUCCAAAAGCCCAUCUAUAACAUGAUGAGGAAAAAGCAGAGGUACUUAAUGCCACAGUCUUUAACAGUAAGACCAGCAGCCCUCAGGGUACCCAGCCUACUGAGUUGGAAGAAGGGAACUGUGUUCUUCUUUUUUUUCCAAGGAAUUUUCUCCCUGGCAACAUACAACAUUUCACUGGAUGCUGUCUAAGAUUGAUGAGAAAAAAGAUUGAGCAUUAAUUACAGGUACAGUAAAAUAGUUUAAUAUAUCCUGAUAGUGCUGAUACCUCACACAGGUGUUUUAGGAAUCUGUUGAGCAUCAUCCCUCUCUGUCACCUCCCUACAAACCUGAGGGCCCCAGGUUGGAUUUGACACCUGAGGUGCAGAGAAACUUGCAAUGGGGUGUGCAGGAAGUGGAGGGGUUGGUGAUGAAAUUGUUUUUACAUGCAUUUGAGCAUGUACUGCAGUCAGUUUUUAUUUCUCACAGGGGUAGUUGCCAUCCAUUUGCAUUCAUGAUACGCUACAGUACUGCCUGGUGCUGCAGGAAAUAGUCUUCUAGAAUUUCUUCCAUGGAUGAUUCCACCAUAGGAGUGGGUACCUAACUUUGGUAUAGGCAAGAUAAAUGUAGCCUCAGCCUUUGGAGAGUCAAGCUGCAAGGCAGAGCAGCAGUGCCAGCUCUGGAGAGUCAAGGCAGCAAGAAAAAGAGAAAGAAAAAGGAGCAGCAGCAGCACAGGAAGCAACACAUUGGAAAUGGAAGAGAACUGGAAAAGAGCCAAAAUCACAAA